ACCGAUUUACGAUGGCAGAUGCACUGAGGCCUGGGUUGUUGAGUGAUGGGUCAGUGCGAUGGAGAAGCUAUUCAAGGAUCUGUUCAUUCCGGAGGGGGAGUAGGUACCUCUGGGAGUACACUGUUUAGCAGGUGAUGCUCAUGACUGGUGGCGGAGAGCGAGGCGAGACCAGGGGUUGGUGGCGGCGCAGCUGAGGUGGGAUGAGUUCUGUGAAAUGCUGUUUGGGAUGUUCUUUCCCAACAGUGUGAAGCAGAAGCUCGAGGAGGAUUUGAGGAGG
rnacentral:lncRNA from 1 species